UUUGGUAUUAAAGAAAAAUAAAGGUCAAUUUUCAUACCCAAAUCCUGAAUCCACAGAAAGAUUCACAUAGGAUCUGAACACAAUUUGUACGUCUUCACAUUUCUGAAGUAAUGUUUCUAUGUCAUGGUAUUUCACAGGGAAUGGCUGAGUGGGUGUGAGAACCAUCCCUGCCCCAACCCAGACAGAUACAUUUAUUCCAGGACUUUUUUUCUAGAUCACAACACUCUUAUCCUAUUCUCCCAGCACUCAUGGGAGAGAGGAAGCCCCGAACUGCUCAUCUAUAUAGCAGAUCAUGAAGAACCCCAGGGAACUGUCUGAGCCACCACUUCCUGCUAUAAACAAGACAGAACCCCACCCUCCUGACACUGGUCUGCUAACAGGGACCUCACUUUCUUACCUUCUCCCUGGGGAGCCAGCCUGGAGUGCAGGAUGUUACUACUGGAAGCAGUCAUCUUCUUCUCCCUCUGGCCUUUUGGCCUUGGGCAGUUAAAGUUGGAGCAAUCUGAAAUAUCAAUUUCCAGGUCAAGAGAUAAAAGUGCCCAUAUAUCUUGUAAGGUGUUUUCUAGCACCUUUAGCACAGACUACAUACACUGGUAUCGGCAGAAACCAGAUCAAGGUAUAGAACAUUUAAUACAUGCUUACUCAAACACCCCUACUCGUGGGAAGAACAACAAAUUUGAGGCAAGUAAAAAUCUUCACACUUUCACUUCCACCUUGAAAAUAAAUUUCUUGGAGAAAGAAGAUGAGGCCGUGUACUUCUGUGCCUGUUGGACUGACACCCACAAUGUUAGAGUUGCCAAGAUUCCUGCACAAGAACCAUCUUCAGCCUGUGCCCCCACACAUCCUUCUCAACAUGGGCAACACAGAGGCCGCACAGCUGGGCACCCAGCCUGAGACAGUUCUGAACAC